rnacentral:rRNA from 1 species
ACUUAAAUUGAAGAGUUUGAUCAUGGCUCAGAUUGAACGCUGGCGGCAGGCCUAACACAUGCAAGUCGAACGGUAGCACAGAGGAGCUUGCUCCUUGGGUGACGAGUGGCGGACGGGUGAGUAAUGUCUGGGAAACUGCCCGAUGGAGGGGGAUAACUAC